AUACACGUCAUAAAAAUCGGUUGACAGUUGACUGUUAAAGAUAUAUCUAGGGACUUUAUUGACUGUUAUCGGAUGAUGCCAUCCAGCGACAAAACAGCGAAAUAUUUAGUUACUUCUAGUGAGUUUUAGUGACUUUCGUAUUUCGAAGUUUGUUUACAAUUCAUUUCACUACGCGGUACUCGUUUCAUUCGGUAAUGAUUAUUAUUGAUUUCGAUUAUUUCAUCGGUAUAACACUCGUAGAACUUUUUAAAACUCGUGUCGCGUUUUAAUACUAGAACAUAUUGGGAAACAUCAAAUGCAUCGAUUGACGGUUAAAGUCCCUAGAUUAUUAGGGACUUUAGUUCACUGUUAUCUAGCGUUGUUGGUGAUUUUCGUAUUUCGAAGUUUUUUACAAUUUUAACAUUGAAUGUGUCAGAAACUUUUCUGGAUGCAUCGGCAAAUGAUCGGCAACACUGACGGACGUAACUUAAACACGCAUUUGAUGCAAGAAACAAAAUCACGAAAUAUUUAAAGAACUCUUUAGUAAAGAACAAGCUUUAAAUAUUUUGGAUGAUGAAAGAGCGAUUCGGGAACACAGUUGUCAGAUCCAUGUUACAUCUUAUAACGGCCGCUUUACAAUAUGCUAAAGCUAAAAAAUAAAUUUUUUAUUAAAAUACAUAAUUCCAAACUCGGAAAAAGUGCCGAUCAAGAACUCACGUUGCGUUAUUAAGAACUUGUAUUUCGCAAAGAAUAACAUAUGUUUGAUUAACUAUCGAUUUUUCUAAUUUGUCAGCAAUCUUGGACCUGUUGUCAAGUGCAUUUUAUCGGUUCAAUUCAUUGCGUGAUUAAAUUUUGAUUGGUUGAAAAUGAAAAGACCGUCGCGCGUCGGUUGGGAAAUACAAGUUCGAUAGAAUAAUGUUAAAUUUGGAUCAGAUUAACAUAAGUUGUAAGAAAGAUAGCACUGUCGGGAAGCCACACAAGAAUAAAUAUAUUUAGUUAAA